GCAGAACCAGAUGACAGGUCAUCGCUCUUCACAGUUACAUUAUAGGGGAAAAACAUGCCGUGGCCUCUGCAAGUAGUCGCUCGCAACAGCUGGUCUCUUUUCAGAGGCAGUCACUAAGUCCUGGCCACUGAAGGGGAGGUCCUGAAUCAACUGCUGAGCCUUGGUUGAAAACCCAGAGAGGAGUAUCCAGGGUGCUCGCUGCAUGGCAGUGACAGAUGCCACAGUGUCAGAAGUGGAGUCUGUAGCAUCAUAAACUUCCUUGAAAGCCAAUCUUGUGGCAGCAAUGCCCUCAUCCAGGAUUGCCCAGAACUCCUUAUAGGAGCCCUCCGGAAAGGCACCCUUGAACUUGGCAGCCGAACGCCACAUACUAAAAUCAUCCCACCCCAGGAGAGCUUGGUGUUUGCUGCACUCAGCUGUAGGCUAGAUGAAGAAUAAAU